UUGGUGUAAGCCCUAGAGGCCAAUUAUUUAUAAUUGCAUGAUACUUGUAUUGGAUAAUUUACUUAUUAAAUAAAGGCUUUUCUUUAUUAUGUUUAUGUGUUAAAUAAUAAUAGAGUCCCUAGAAUAGUAAGUUCAUUGAAUGGAACGUUAAGUGUGACUUAAUCGUGAGAAUCCAUUACACAUGAGAACACUAUUCUUAAAACAUCCGUAGUCAAGCUUUAUUGUGAAUUGGGAUAACAUCAAAACAUAAAGACUAUUAUGUU
rnacentral:lncRNA from 1 species